rnacentral:rRNA from 1 species
GAUGAACGCUAGCGGCAGGCCUAAUACAUGCAAGUCGAACGGCAGCAGGCUGUAGCAAUACAGCGCUGGCGAGUGGCGCACGGGUGCAUAACACGUAUGUAGUUUGCCCAUAACUGGGGGAUAGCCUUCCGAAAGGAAGAUUAACACCCCAUAACACCAUGAAGAGGCAUCUCUUUAUGGUUAAAUCUCCGGAGGUUAUGGAUAAGCAUGCGUCGAUUAGCUAGUUGGCGAGGUAACGGCUCACCAAGGCAACGAUCAGUAGGGGGUCUGAGAGGAUGAUCCCCCACACGGGUACUGAGACACGGACCCGACUCCUACGGGAGGCAGCAGUAAGGAAUAUUGGACAAUGGAGGCAACUCUGAUCCAGCCAUGCCGCGUGAAGGAUGAAGGCGCUACGCGUUGUAAACUUCUUUUCUCUUAAGAAAAACUCUUGGUUUCGUACCGAGACUGAUUGUACAAGAGGAAUAAGCAUCGGCUAACUUCGUGCC